rnacentral:rRNA from 1 species
CCUACGGGAGGCAGCAGUGGGGAAUAUUGCACAAUGGGGGAAACCCUGAUGCAGCGACGCCGCGUGAGCGAUGAAGUAUUUCGGUAUGUAAAGCUCUAUCAGCAGGGAAGAAAAUGACGGUACCUGACUAAGAAGCCCCGGCUAACUACGUGCCAGCAGCCGCGGUAAUACGUAGGGGGCAAGCGUUAUCCGGAUUUACUGGGUGUAAAGGGAGCGUAGACGGCGAUGCAAGCCUGGUGUGAAAGGCGGGGGCUCAACCCCGGGACUGCGCUGGAAACUGUAUGGCUGGAGUGAAGGAGAGGUAAGUGGAAUUCCUAGGGGAGCGGUGAAAUGGGUAGAUAUUAGGAGGAACACCAGUGGCGAAGGCGGCUGACUGGACUGUAACGGACGUUGAGGUUCGAAAGCGUGGGGAGCAAACAGGAUUAGAUACCCCGGUAGUC